rnacentral:rRNA from 1 species
CUAACUCCGUGCCAGCAGCCGCGGUAAUACGGAGGGUGCGAGCGUUAAUCGGAAUUACUGGGCGUAAAGCGCAUGCAGGCGGCCUGUUAAGUCAGAUGUGAAAGACCCGGGGCGUUAACCUCGGAAUUGCAUUUGAAACUGGCAGGCUAGAGUCUUGUAGAGGGGGGUAGGAAGUUUCAGGUGUAGCGGUGAAAUGCGUAGAGAUCUGAAGGAAUACCAGUGGCGAAGGCGGCCCCCUGGACAAAGACUGACGCUCAGAUGCGAAAGCGUGGGGAGCAAACAGGAUUAGAUACCCUGGUAG